AAGAAGCGCUUACUUACCCCAAGUAUAGACGUAGCCAUAUCCAGGGCCCUUCCUAGACAGCUAGUUGAAGAGAACAAUGACUCAGUGUUCCAGUGUGACUGAGGGACAGUGCGCUGAAGCUUUACUCUCUCUACUCGAGUUGUAUAGAGAGCGCGUGCUUUGAAGUACAGCUGGCUGUAAUACUCAGCCAAUCUGAGCGCGCGACGAGCCGCGUCCGACCAAUGAGCGACGCGACCAUGACAGAAAUACUAAAGCUGCACGUCAAUCAAUGACUGGGGUACUGAUCCCACUGUCAAGCAAUAAGCCAUCAGCUAUUUUUCAUCGUUUUAUAUAUAUAUAUGCAUAUGGCCAUCAAGGCGCGCAAUCUGCACAGACUAUAUAGCUCUCAGCUCAUAUUGAUGUUUAAUAGGCAUCCUCCGAUGAACCUGUCGAUGAAAUGCAAGGAUGCAUCUUGGAGGAAGAGGACGGAGGGGCACCACUGAUCCCACAACAGGAAGUCAGCUCGACACAACAGCGUGCCGCAUCUCAAGGCUUCCUCUUCCGCAUCACUGAGCCAGAUAAAAACACUGAAUCCAGGCACCACCAACGCUGCCAUUUGCCCUCCUUUCAAAAAAUACACACACACACACACACACCUGCCAGGUAUGGGGUUUGUCCGUCUCACACUGUGCAUCUGUCUGUCUGUAUUUGUUCAAAGAUUUCGUUCUGCACCAGACACAGUCAAUUAAGGUGCAAGAAUGAAAGGAAAAGAUUAAGAAAUAAAUAUAUCAGGCCAUUUACUUUUUGGAGUUCUAUUAAUGCUAUAAAAAUGAUUAAUCAAACAAUUAUAUUCUGUCAUUGCUAACUUGAUUUUUUUUUUUUUUUUGGGACCAGCACCCACUGGGCCACUUUCCUAUAGAUGUUUAUUUGAUUAUAUUUACAGUGGCUCCAAAAUGCAUUUAGACAAUCCAUAUCAUUAACUACAAACAUGUUUCACUAACAUGUAUGUAUUUAUUUAUUUAUUUGCUUGAUAUGUUUGCUUUUAAGUAAGGAAUUUAUUUAAAAUAAAUGCUGCUUGGUUUUAUAUUUUGUAUUUAAUUUACUGGCUCUCAAAC